rnacentral:rRNA from 1 species
CCGUCGGUGUUAACUGGCAUGUCCUGUGGAACGUCCUGCCGGUGGCGGUACGGGCUCUCGGUUCCUGUGUAGAGACCAAAAUCUCGAAGCAGACCGAACAGUUCCGGCCGCCGGUUCAUAUCCCGCCACGGUGCUCUUAAACGAGUGUCGAGGUGGGCCGGCACGUUUACUUUGAACAAAUUAGAGUGCUUAAAGCAGGCUGGUGUCCGCCUGAAUACUGUGUGCAUGGAAUAAUGGAAUAGGACCUCGGUUCUAUUUUGUUGGUUUUCGGAACCCGAGGUAAUGAUUAAUAGGGACAGGCGGGGGCAUUCGUAUUGCGGCGUUAGAGGUGAAAUUCUUGGAUCGUCGCAAGACGAACCUAAGCGAAAGCAUUUGCCAAGUAUGUCCUCGUUAAUCAAGAACGAAAGUUAGAGGUUCGAAGGCGAUCAGAUACCGCCCUAGUUCUAACCAUAAACGAUGCCAGCCAGCGAUCCGCCGAAGUUCCUCCGAUGACUCGGCGGGCAGCUUCCGGGAAACCAAAGCUUUUGGGUUCCGGGGGAAGUAUGGUUGCAAAGCUGAAACUUAAAGGAAUUGACGGAAGGGCACCACCAGGAGUGGAGCCUGCGGCUUAAUUUGACUCAACACGGGAAACCUCACCAGGCCCGGACACCGGAAGGAUUGACAGAUUGAGAGCUCUUUCUUGAUUCGGUGGGUGGUGGUGCAUGGCCGUUCUUAGUUGGUGGAGCGAUUUGUCUGGUUAAUUCCGAUAACGAACGAGACUCUAGCCUGCUAACUAGGCGAUUUCCGGUACCCUCUUUAGUGUUACCGGCGAUUCAAUUUCUUCUUAGAGGGACAGGCGGCUCCUAGCCGCACGAGACUGAGCAAUAACAGGUCUGUGAUGCCCUUAGAUGUCCUGGGCAGCACGCGCGCUACACUGAAGGAAUCAGCGUGUCCUCCCUGGCCGACAGGCCCGGGUAACCCGUUGAACCUCCUUCGUGCUAGGGAUUGGGGCUUGCAAUUGUUCCCCAUGAACGAGGAAUUCCCAGUAAGCGCGAGUCAUAAGCUCGCGUUGAUUACGUCCCUGCCCUUUGUACACACCGCCCGUCGCUACUACCGAUUGAAUGAUUUAGUGAGGUCUUCGGACUGGUGCGCGGCGGUCGGUCUCGCCGGCCGCCGAUGUUGCCGGAA